rnacentral:ncRNA from 1 species
AGUUGAUAAAGCCACAGCCGUCGUGAGGCGGUGUCGGAAAGCCACGGAUCUCUGAUGGGAGAGACAGCCGGGUUACCUGC